CCUUCGGUGUCGUAGCUAACGCGUUAAGUGUUCCGCCUGGGGGAGUACGCACGCAAGUGUGAAACUCAAAGGAAUUGANCGGGGGCCCGCACAAGCGGUGGAGUAUGUGGUUUAAUUCGAUGCAACGCGAAGAACCUUACCAGGGUUUGACAUCCUGCGAACCUCUUAGAAAUUUGAGGGUGCCUUCGGGAAUGCAGUGACAGGUGGUGCAUGGCUGUCGUCAGCUCGUGUCGUGAGAUGUUGGGUUAAGUCCCGCAACGAGCGCAACCCACGUUUUUAGUUGCCAGCAUUUAGUUGGGCACUCUAGAAAGACCGCCGGUGAUAAACCGGAGGAAGGUGUGGAUGACGUCAAGUCAUCAUGCCCCUUACACCCUGGGCUACACACGUACUACAAUGCUACGGACAAAGGGCAGCAAACUCGCGAGAGCUAGCAAAUCCCAUAAACCGUGGCUCAGUUCUGAUCGUAGGCUGCAACUCGCCUACGUGAAGUAGGAAUCGCUAGUAAUCGCAGGUCAGCAUACUGCGGUGAAUACGUUCCCGGGCCUUGUACACACCGCCCGUCACACCAUGGAAGUUGGCCAUGCCCGAAGUCGUUACUCCAACCCUUGUGGAGGAGGACGCCGAAGGUGGGGCUAAUGACUGGGGUGAAGUCGUAACAAGGUA
rnacentral:rRNA from 1 species